rnacentral:rRNA from 1 species
UACAGAGGUCCCCAAGCGUUGUUCGGAUUCACUGGGCGUAAAGGGUGCGUAGGUGGCUGGGUAAGUUCGAUGUGAAAUCUCCGAGCUCAACUCGGAAAUGGCAUUGAAUACUAUCUUGCUAGAGGGUCGGAGGGGAGACUGGAAUUCUCGGUGUAGCAGUGAAAUGCGUAGAUAUCGAGAGGAACACCAGUGGCGAAGGCGAGUCUCUGGACGACACCUGACACUGAGGCACGAAAGCUAGGGGAGCAAACAGGAUUAGAUACCCUGGUAGU